UACAGAGGGGGCAAGCGUUGUUCGGAAUUACUGGGCGUAAAGGGCUCGUAGGCGGCCAACUAAGUCAGACGUGAAAUCCCCAGGCUCAACCUGGGAACUGCGUCUGAUACUGGAUGGCUUGAAUCCGGGAGAGGGAUGCAGAAUUCCAGGUGUAGCGGUGAAAUGCGUAGAUAUCUGGAGGAACACCGGUGGCGAAGGCGGCAUCCUGGACCGACACUGACGCUGAGGAGCGAAAGCCAGGGGAGCAAACGGG
rnacentral:rRNA from 1 species